CAAAUUGAAUACAACUUUACAAAUUGGAUAAUGCUGAAAUUUCAAGGAUAAUGGUAGCAAACAUUGAAGAGUCUUACACGGCAAGGAAAAAAUGGGCUGAUUAUGUCUAUAUAUAUGUAUGUAUAAUUUAUGCAUGUGAGUGCUGAAAAAUUAGCUAGUGUUGAGAAAAAAAAAAGUGUUGUGAGUAUAGAAAGAUAAACUAGCUGCAGCUAGUAUUGAGAAAAAAAUAAAGAGAGUUUGUAUUGUAUUUUAUUUGUGUAUAAUAAAAUUAGUAUUUGAGUUAUUUUUUUUUAUUACGUUUCCAACAACCUUAAGGACGUUUGCCCUUCCAAUGGUCCAGCUCUGAACUCCGAUGCCGGAAAGGAACAGGUCUCCAAUCCAAGCAUCGUUGAACCAGCUUCGGCGGGGAUGAGGGAUCCUUUUCGCCCAUGGAUGAUUAUGGAACAGAAAUGGCGCCGAAACUAGAAGGAAAAUCAAAAUCAAAAGUCGAAACUUCUGGAUAAAGAAUUAAACAAAUCUCAUUUUGAGGUAUUAAUUUCACUGGAUAGUGGGGCUGCUAAUUUAGGGGAUAAAUUUUAAGGGUUUAAAGGAAUUUCUUUCCAUAAAGGAGAGUUUUUAGAAAAAUCUAGGUGUUAAGUCUGUAGGACCGACUGUGGGGGCAUUUAAUGGGAAAAAUAAGGGUGAUCAGCAUGGGCCAGUCAAGUGGCGUGAAGCCCAAAGGAUCAAACUCGAAUUUGUUAGUUAAUACUAACAAGCCUGCUAUGGGUAAUGACUUGCAUGUUCAAAUUAAUGCUGCAAAGUCUACAAGCGAUUCCAAUUAGCCGAAAAAGGUUGUCGUUGCCCGGGCUACUAUUGACCCAGCACCUUUCCUAGAUGACAGCAUUUCAUAGGAAAUGACGCUUUUAAACAGACAAAUAACGGUUCUAAAAGGAAUGAAUCAGGGAGUAAAGGAAAAUAUGUUCAAAGAGGGAAGACCAAUAACAAAACCAUCCGGGGGUGAGGGGAACAUUUUAAAGUUGUGAGAAAUUCUCAUAUUCCCCUCCCAGAAGCCAUGUCUACCUUAGCUACAACCAUUGGCUCUCAAGUUGUAGUUGAAGUAGAUAAGUCUGAUAUGUAAUGACCCAAUAGUUGGGUAAUCGAAAAGUGUAAUUUGGGUUUUUAUUUUCGUGAAACGAAUUCUUAGAUAUUUAUUAAAAA